rnacentral:rRNA from 1 species
GAUGAACGCUGACAGAAUGCUUAACACAUGCAAGUCUACUUGAAUUUGGGUUUUUUAACUUAGAUUUGGGUGGCGGACGGGUGAGUAACGCGUAAAGAACUUGCCUCACAGCUAGGGACAACAUUUGGAAACGAAUGCUAAUACCUGAUAUUAUGAUUAUAAGGCAUCUUAGAAUUAUGAAAGCUAUAUGCGCUGUGAGAGAGCUUUGCGUCCCAUUAGCUAGUUGGAGAGGUAACGGCUCACCAAGGCGAUGAUGGGUAGCCGGCCUGAGAGGGUGAACGGCCACGAGGGGACUGAGACACGGCCCUUACUCCUACGGGAGGCAGCAGUGGGGAAUAUUGGACAAUGGACCAAGAGUCUGGUCCAGCAAUUCUGUGUGCACGAUGACGUUUUUCGGAAUGUAAAGUGCUUUCAGUUGGGAAGAAAAAAAUGACGGUACCAACAGAAGAAGUGACGGCUAAAUACGUG